rnacentral:rRNA from 1 species
UACGUAGGGUGCGAGCGUUGUCCGGAAUUAUUGGGCGUAAAGAGCUUGUAGGCGGUCUGUCGCGUCUGCUGUGAAAAUCCGGGGCUCAACCCCGGACUUGCAGUGGGUACGGGCAGACUAGAGUGUGGUAGGGGAGACUGGAAUUCCUGGUGUAGCGGUGAAAUGCGCAGAUAUCAGGAGGAACACCAAUAGCGAAGGCAGCUCGCUGGGACGGUACUGACGCUGAGGCGCGAAAGCGUGGGGAGCGAACAGG